UACGUAGGGUGCGAGCGUUAAUCGGAAUUACUGGGCGUAAAGUGUGCGCAGGUGGCCGCGCAUGUCGAGUGUGAAAUCCCCGGGCUUAACCUGGGAACUGCGCUUCUAACUGGCAGGCUGGAGUGUGGCAGAGGGGGGUGGAAUUCCACGUGUAGCAGUGAAAUGGCGUAGAGAUGUGGAGGAACACCGAUGGCGAAGGCAGCCCCCUGGGCUAACACUGACGCUCAUGCACGAAAGCGUGGGGAGCAAACAGG
rnacentral:rRNA from 1 species